rnacentral:rRNA from 1 species
UACGUAGGGUGCGAGCGUUAAUCGGAAUUACUGGGCGUAAAGGGUGCGCAGGCGGCUCCGCAUGUCGGGCGUGAAAUCCCCGGGCUUAACCUGGGAAUUGCGUCCGAAACUAUGGAGCUGGAGUGUGGCAGAGGGAGGUGGAAUUCCACGUGUAGCGGUGAAAUGCGUAGAUAUCAAGUGGAACACCAGUGGCGAAGGCGAGUCUCUGGACGACACCUGACGCUGAGGCACGAAAGUCAGGGGAGCAAACGGG